UACCUCCCUCCCUACCACCGUUUUCCUGCCGUAGCGGAGUCCUCUUCGGUUACAUUGGAGUGCUUGUCUUUGUUGCUCGCUUUUGUGAUUCAGGGCUUCUGCUUCCUUUUCCCUCCACUCGCCAACUCGUAGCAGCGUUAAAUUGGGAUUUCACUGGAAUAUUAUUUGGGAACGUAUCAUGGAAGUUCUGCGCCCACAGCUUAUAAGAAUUGGGGGACGGAUUUAUAGGAAAAAUCCCAUUCAAGAACAGACUUACCAACAUGAAGAAGAGGAUGAGGACUUCUAUCAAGGCUUCGUGGAGUGUGCAGAAGAGCCCUGUGAUGGCUACGAGGUGGUGCAGACUGAACAAGGUUUCCAGUGUACGGUGAAGGCCCCCAGCCUGCUCUACAAGCAUAUAGUUGGAAAGAGAGGGGACACAAGGAAGAAACUAGAAGUGGAGACCAAAACUUCUAUUAGUAUUCCUAAACUUGGACAAGAAGGAGAAAUUGUAAUCACCGGCCAGCAUCGAAGUGGUGUAAUUUCAGCCCGAACUCGGAUUGAUGUUCUUUUGCUCACUUUCAGAAGAAAGCAGCCUUUUACACAUUUCCUUGCCUUUUUCCUCAAUGAAGCUGAGGUUCAGGAAAGAUUCCUGAAGUUCCAGGAGGAAGUACUGGAGAGGUGCUCCAUGGAUCGUGGAGUUGAUAGUAGUAUUUUCCAGAAUCCGAAAAAACUACACUUAACGAUUGGGAUGUUGGUACUUUUGAGUGAGCAAGAGAUCCAGCAGACAUGUGAGAUGCUAAAGCAGUGUAAAGAGGACUUCAUUGACGAUAUUUCUGGGGGCAAACCCCUGGAAGUAGAGAUGGAAGGGAUAGAAUACAUGAAUGAUGAUCCAGGCAUGGUGGAUGUUCUUUAUGCCAAAGUUCAUAUGAAAGACGGCUCCAACAGGCUACAGGAAUUAGUUGAUCGAGUGCUGGAACGUUUUCAGGCAUCCGGAUUAAUAGUAAAAGAGUGGAAUAGUGUGAAACUCCAUGCUACCGUCAUGAAUACUCUAUUCAGGAAAGACCCCAAUGCUGAAGGAAGGUACAAUCUCUACACAGCGGAUGGCAAAUAUAUCUUCAAGGAAAGAGAAUCAUUUGAUGGCAGAAACAUUUUAAAGCUGUUUGAGAACUACUACUUUGGUACCCUGAAGCUCAAUUCAGUCCAUAUCUCUCAGAGGUUCACAGUGGACAGCUUUGGGAACUAUGCCUCCUGUGGGCAAAUUGACUUCUCCUGAAGUGGACCUUGGGAAGCAGUAGAAAUUGAACAUCUUCAUAAGGAUGAUGCUGAAGCAACUAAGCCAUACCAGUCAGGGCAGCAGCAAGAGAAACGAUGAUGGUAUCAGCAGGACUGUGCAGAGUUCCCUGGGAAGAUGUCAGCUGCAGAAGGCGCUCCAUCCUUGCCGCAGACACGGGCAGUGGGAGGGAGCUCUCAGCACAGCUCUGCCUGCCACUGCACUCAGUGAUCCCCAGGGAGCCCCAGCCUGGCUCUUACCUUGUCACUGCUGCCUCCUCCUCCUCACAUCCUCUCUUCCUCCACGUCCUCCCCUGUUUCUUCUUUCCUUGUUCUUAGCUUGCUUUUUACUUUCUGUUUAAGAAGUUGGGCUCUGAACCCAGUGUCUCAAGGUCACUACAUGGUGAGGGUUGUGUAUAACACUCAGAUUUGUUUAGCACUGUGACUGCACAGAUAAGUUGUGAAUAAACGAAUUUCCAAAGUAA